CAAUUAGUUUUAAAAGCCAAUAGAAACUUUUACCCUAGAUACCCAAAUUCUCUUAGUCAAUUUUUACUCCAUUCUUAAAGUUUUGGAAGUCACGAUGGCUGCGAUGGAUUUGAGCUCUAAAGCCUCCGUUAAUUUGAAGCUUACUUCAAUGGCUACUAUGGGUUUGAGCUGAAGCACGCAUCAAUUUUUUCUUUCUGCUCGAUCUCUCUUUAAUCUCUCAUUCUAGUUCUUAAUCCUCAUUUUCUCUGUGAUUUUCUUUUGUUAUAAAUGCUUACAUGCAUAUGCUAUCAACUUAUAAUUAUGUUUUUUAGCUUUAAUUAUCUUCUGAUUUGGUUAUAAUUUUGUUUAAAUUCGUUUAUAAGUUAAACUUGAGUUUGAUUAAUUUGUGAUUGAUUCGAAAAGCUUCAACUGUAACUCAUUUAGUAGGAUUUUGAUGUAAACCUAAAUUAACCCAAUAAGGUGUUACCUACAGCUAGAAAUUCUGCUUGUUGUAAUGAACUGAAAUCAUCAAAUUUACUGUAACACUGGAUGACGAGGAAAGCUGACCAUUUUUUUAUACCAAAAGGUAUCUCGUGCGAGUUUUCACUUUCCUCCAAGCAUGGAUGUACUUAAGCCUCUUAUCAAGCAUCAACAUUUGUUGUCUAUAAACAGACUAGAAUAUUUGGACAAAUUCCUCUGUGAAAGGGUCCCCUGCAGCUCUGAAAUUCUUCAGUUCCUCAUAAAGUCUUAAUGUAUCUAUUCCAUUCAAUCCUACUUUACUCUUCAAAUUGAAGUGCUACAAGAAUCACCAAUUGACAACCCCGAGCUCGUUUUAGGCAUUUCUCUAAAGCAGCAAGGAAAUCCAAACUUAUUUCUAAAUUCUGCUGCAUACACGUUUCUUAUAUCAUUGUGGUUGGAGAUUAAACACACACACUCUCUCUCUCAUUUGAGUUAUAGGAGAACUUGGUUGUAAGAAAACCGUAGGCAUGUGAUGAUUAGUGUUAGGAAACUCUGAAACCUGCAUGUUGCUUGUUCCUUAAGGUGAAUCCUGUGUAACUAAGUACUAGUUCUCUUAAUGCACUCUUUUGUGAAAAAUCAGGUAAAGUGCUACUGGUAAGCUAUAAUUUGUUUGUUAUAUAAAUUAGUUUGACGUAAGAUGUAAUUUGUAAAGCUGUUGAAUGUCUUUUGGUAAGUAGUUUCCAAUGCAGUCUCUAUUGGUAAGCUUAGACACGGCGAAGACAAGCUUAAACACUAUAUCAAGAACUACUAUGUUAAUUAUUUUAUCUUUAUGCUAUUUUUUUUUGUAAUUGCAGAAAAUAAGGAAUAUCUUGAACAAUCAUGGAGAAAUCUAGAAAUAGAAGAUGGAUGGAUUACAGUAGAGUCAGUAAAGAGUAUUUAGAUGGAGUAGAAAAUAUUCGCGAUUUAGAAGAUGAUAGCAAUGGUUGGGUAAGAGGUGGAGUUGAAGGUAUAGAAAUCGUUAAGGACUGAAAUUUCAACUUCCUCCAAUAGAAGGCCAUGUUUUUGGGAGGAACAACAUUGGGAUUAUGUCAGGUGAACACAUAUUGAAGUCAUUAGAUGAAACUUUCCCAGUGCCAUCUGAGGCUGAAGGGAUAUAGAAAAGUUCCUAUCCUUGAGCUCAUAAUCUUGGUUAUACAUUUUUUAAAGACAGAACAUAAAUAUCAGGAUGCUCCUUAACCAAACUAUUUAGCAAACAAAGGCAUGAAAUUUUGCAGAACAGGGUUCAUUGUGUUGCAACUGAUUAAGGUCUAAUAUCAUGGUACCCGACUCAUUGUGCCGACAAAAGAUGUUGAAUAAACACAAGGAUACUUAGAAGAAGCAAGAGGAACACUAGAAGAAAUAGCUUAUGUGUCUACUGUCAAGGAUUAAGAUUUAUACCAGUACUAAGAGAAGUUAGAAUUGGACAUUAAGACAGAAACUGGUAAAAGACUACCAAGGCAUCUCCUUUGUUGUCUAGUUUCACUCCUCUGUGGAUGUGGAAACCUCCCUUCUUUAACACUACCACAGAUAUACUGAAAACCUCCCUCCUUUUUGCAUCUGUUAUAGGCCAUGUUUCUGGGAGGAAGAACAUUGGUGAUUAUAUCAGUGGUAUACUCAUGCAAAUGGUGAGCUUGUUCAAGGAAUGACAGACUGAUCGAUCAAGCUGCACAUUUUGCAUUAGGGAAAAAAAUAGUGGCUUUAUUGACUUAUUUUCUCCAUUGUUGAACAUAUGUUUUCUAUUUUAAUAAUUCAUAGUUUCGUUUACCGCUAACGAGAUAAGAAAGUGAAUGUAAUAAAGAUUGUUUGAUCUUAUUUUAAGUGAAUGACAUUGUUUUGAGUUUGGUAA